rnacentral:rRNA from 1 species
UACGGAGGGUGCAAGCGUUAUCCGGAUUCACUGGGUUUAAAGGGUGCGUAGGUGGGCAGGUAAGUCAGUGGUGAAAUCUCCGGGCUUAACUCGGAAACUGCCAUUGAUACUAUCUGUCUUGAAUACCGUGGAGGUUAGCGGAAUAUGUCAUGUAGCGGUGAAAUGCUUAGAUAUGACAUAGAACACCAAUUGCGAAGGCAGCUGGCUACACGAAUAUUGACACUGAUGCACGAAAGCGUG